rnacentral:lncRNA from 1 species
CCUCCUUUGUGGAGCUUUUCAUUGUGAGCCUAAAUCUUUGGAUAGAGGGACAGUCUGAAUGUUGGACACUGGCCUCUUCAAGUUCUAUCUACUUUUAUAAAAACUGUAGCCGCUCGGUAGUGGAAUGCUCUGCAAUCCAGGAGAGAAAACAAUCCCUGCAGAGCAGGGGAACCUGCCACAGAAGCUGAUACUGUCAUUAGGAACAGGAAAGAAGUCUUCUCGGUGUUCCUCUGGAGAAGGUAUCAACUCUGGAAGCUGGAGAAGCUGCAUGUUGCAUUUAUCAGCUGCUUUCUUCACUCCAGGUACUUGCUGAACUCUUUGAUACCAACUGGAGAUCAGAGACCAAGCAGAGAUGAAUACAGAAUACUGAAGCAGAGUUCAAGUCCCCUGCACUACCAAGCCUCUGUCCAGAGAUGAGAAAAGAGUGGGGCAGAAGAAGAAGGAUGGGGAAUAAAAAAAUAAAUCUGAUGACUUCACUGGGCUCAAACCAUGUUUUCAUAAAUUCUCCUAUCCUAGCUCAGAUGUUAAGGUAUUUGCACAAUAGAACUUGCAUCUACACCUCCAGAAUCUGCAGUAUGCUGAUAUUUAGUAGAUGAGUGCUAUCAGAAAAAAAAAAAAGCAAACAAUCUUUCUCAGGCCCAGAUAAGUUUUAUACAAAGUGAGAUCCACUAGCCAAGUGACUAAAGCUCUACGUGUAAGUGUGAAAUGAGCUUUUAACCUAUCAUUUAACCUAUCAUUCAUCUAAAUGUACAGAGAAAUGAACCUGUCACUAAUUACAACGUUUGUCUCAAACAUUUUGAAGGUUUUGAAUUCUUCUUUAUACAGGAUGGGAGAGCUUUUGAAAACUCAUCACAUUACAAAAUAGUCUUACAUAGUGAAAUUUUGCAUAUACCCACUAUCUAUUUAGUGCGUCCAUAUUACUUUGCUCAUAUACACUGUUUUUCUUCAUUGUGCUGCAAAAAAAAUCUUGAUACAGAGGAAAAAGACAAGGAUGGAGACAACUGAAAACAGUCUAUUGUUGUUUGAUGCUGGGAACAUGGGAGGUUGAUUGCAAAGGAGAGGAGACAAAGGCAUCUUUGAGUACACCACACUAUUGGCAUUUCUAAAAUACUCAUGCAAUCUGAUAUUGAACGUAUAAAUUGCUUUUAAGUGUGAAAAAGUUUUAACUUUUAAGUGUGAAAGCCUCCUAAAGGGAAAUGCGAACUUUCUUCAGGAUGUUAUUUGACCAUAAAGGCAACAUAAGAUUGCAUUAUGGAAGAAAAAAAAAAAUUAAACAUCUUUUCUCUCUGGACUGCAAGCAGGACAAUAACUUCUCAGUUACAAACUCCACUCCAAGACCUUAUUCAACAUGUUUUCCAAGGAAAUUCUUCUUAUGCUGUAAUAUACAAAGGACCUUUCACAAGCUGCAUAAAACAGUUUAGCAGCAAAAAUACUAUGAAUAGCAAAACUACAGAUUGCUGAGGCUUGAGGGGCUGAAGCAGAAGCCAAAGAAUCUGGCUCCCUAGACAUAACACCUUCCUUCUGAGCUUGAUCUCAGUGAUCAGACCCUGCUUGAAGGAGGAGCACACAAAGCUUUAUUAAAACAUGACCUAACAAAACAAAACUACGACAGUAGUGCACAAACAAAUAAAAAGUUUGCUGAUAUGAAGGUAUGAAACUGUCUUAUGCAUCCAUCUUUUAUCGACUGAUGUGCAAAGAAACUGGCUUGCUCAUGAGAGAGCUUGGUAAUAAAAAACAUCCAUUUGAGACAGAAUAAAACAGGGUUGUCUACACACAGGAAUGUUUUGUCCCCAGUGAAGGAAUCAUCUCUAGGAACCAGAAGAAAACGAGAGCAGAGACUAAGAAUAUUAACAUACUAUGCAGAGAAAUGAGCAAAUCAGAAAUCCUCCCAGGCUGUAUUUUAAAAGGAAAUAUUUGUAAACAAACAAACAAACAAAAACGCUCUACAAAAAAAAAAAAAAACUCAAGAAACUGUACACCAGUCACAUAACCUAUUGUUUUUCAAAACAAUACCCAAGUAUCUCUUUAGUUCUGAUACAGCAAGGAAACUCAAACUUUACGUCUCUGAAAAGCCACUCCAGUCUCUAGACCUCCUUCUCCUCCCUAAAAGAGCAUUUUAUGUCAAGACAAAGUAACAAAGUUUCAAGCCUCAGGUGAAAAGAAUUUCAGUUCAGAUAAUACUGAUACAGUAAAAGAACAACAAAAGGGCAAAUAGCACAUUUUGUCUUUUGCCCACCCAGUAUCCAAAAAAGAAAUAGGUUCAUACUUACCUACUUUUGUUCUAUGCACGCUGUAAUGUACUACAAGUGUCUGUUUUAAAUAUUGUCAUGCAGGAAUUUUCUGGCCAACUUCCUGCCAAAGUAUUUUAGCAUUAUAUUUGAAUAGCUAAGAAGGUUUAUUAAGUACUAUUCGAAAUUAAUGUUGUUGAUCUCAUCAACCUGUUUUUUGAUUGUACAAAAAUAAAAACAAAGGCAAGUUGUCUGUUUCACGUUAUGC